GACGAACGCUGGCGGCGUGCUUAACACAUGCAAGUCGAACGAAAAGGCCCUGCUUUUGCUGGUUGCUCGAUUGGCGAACGGGGGUGUAACACGCGAGUAACCUGCCCUUAUCUUUGGGAUAACUUCAGGAAACUGGGGCUAAAACCGGAUAGGAGCUCCUGCUGCAUGUGGGGGGUUGGAAAGUGUCGGCGGUUGGGGAUGGACUCGCUGCUUAUCAGCUUGUUGGGGGGGUAGUGGCUUACCAAGGCUUUGACGGAUAGCCGGCAUGGGAGGGUGAACGGCCACAAUGGGCCUGAGAUAGGGCGCAGACUGCUACGGGAGGCAGCAGGGGGGAAUAUGGCGCAAUGGGCGGAAGUGUGAUGCAGAAACGCCGCGUGCGUAAUGACGGCUUACGGGGUGUAAACCGCUUUCGCCUGAGCCGAGGCGUGAGUGACGGUAAUGGGUAAAGAAGCACCGGCUAACUACGUG
rnacentral:rRNA from 1 species